UUUUUUUUUUUUUUUUUUUUUUUUUUAAUAAAAGAGCCUUGACUUGGAAAUCUCUCUGGUCAGAGUUUAGACAUCCCUUUGAAGUUAACAUCUUGUGUUUUUCAGAAGAGAUUUCCUACUCCUUUCUCAUAUUCUUUGACCUUAGCCCAGCCUUCAAUAAUACAUUGAAUUUGCUGUCUCUAGCACCACUGCCACUGACAUUUCAUCACUGUUUUUCUUGCUCUGUGGGGACUCAAAGUCUUAGUUAUUCUCAAAAUAUUUCCAUAGGCUCUAUUAGCACUUAAAUUUUAUAAAUAACAACCAAUGGCAUGUCUGUUCCAUGUGUUGUAUAAUAUACUUCCUAUACAUUGAAGGUGAAGUUUGUUGAAUUUUAGGAUACCCCCAUAAGUGAAUAAUAGGUAGGACCCAAUCACAGUCGCACAAACUCAGAUUAUUUGGAAACUUUUAAGGAUGUUUCAUAUGUUUGUCAGUAAAUAUAGAUUUGGUUAGGCUGUAGUAAAACAUCAGUGUCUUACAGCGAGAAAAUUAUACUUUAUCCCAAAGUCUACCAUCAGCCUGGCCAACUGUCCAGGGCAGCCGUCUUCUCAGUAAUGGCUCAGUAGUCAAGAUUUCCUGCUCAUCAAGAGAGGUGGAGAGUUCUGGAGUAUUCACACCAAUAAUUAAGGCAAGAACAAGGAAGGAUGAUUUCCUUGGGUAACCAUAGAAAUUCAGGGAGAGAUAUGGAUAAUGACUAGAAAUUUUUACUACAAUAUUACACAGUGAACCUCCAUCUUAGUGCUAAUACCGUGUUAACUUUUUUUUUACUCCAUGGCUGGGAAUACCACGAGGUAUGUUAACUAAUUAACAAGUAUUAAAGAAGAAAGAGAAAAUUUAUUAUGGACGAGGCAUUACAGAUCUGAUGAAUGUAAAUAAAUUAUCUGUGGCUAGAAUAAGACUUGCAAAUAUAAGAAAAAUAAAGAGGAUGUAUCAAUUAGAGGGAAGGAAGCAUAUUCUUGAGAGCUUUUUGGAGAUAAGCAUGGGGAGAAUGGAGAAAAUGUAGCAGGCGGGAGGAAUUAUAUAGUGGCUUCCUAAUGACUAUUAACACCAAAAGAUAGUGUCUGAGUAUGCUUAUGUUUAAGCAAGUCCACAGAUGGGCAGGGAUCUUGCUGGAAAGAAACAAGGGAUGGGUUAUAGAGGUAUACAGGAACAGACCACCAGCAGGUAUUUGAAAUGAAAACCAGGUCAAAUAUAUCAGAUGUGAAUCUAAAAUCAAUAGCCAAAAAAACUGACUUAUGCCUCAUACAGUUAUCGGGAAGCUGGGGUGAAUAUGGAAUUGUGGUAGAGAAAAUAAAGACGUGUUGAGGAAGAGGAGCUUUUUGAGGUCCUAAUAGAUCCACUGUGAGUGCCCAGAGUGGAAAUACAUUUUUCUGCAAUCUGCGUGUAGUUUCAUCUGGCUUUUCUUGUUUAUAGUUAAUAAAAUGUUAGCCAUCUGCCUGGUCACAAGAUAGCCUUCCCUAGCUCCCUGUUCGGAGGUCCCCAAUGGGAAGUUUUGAGAUACAUUAAUGUCAGCCUCCGGUGGAGAACUUACACAACUCCUGCAGCUGUGGCUUCCAGAUCCAACCUAAGUCCUGCCUUAUACCAGCUACUUGUUUAAUAUUUACUCUGACUUAUUCCUUCCAAUAAAUCCCCUGUUGGGUUAUGUUAGCCAGAAGCAGACUCUGACUUGCACCCAAAGAACCAAAUUAAGACUGCCCUCCCCACUCCACAAAAAAUGAGAUUUCUGCAACCCAGGUAACUGAGAAGCAUCUGAAAAAUGAAGAGCAGGUUUCAGAUCCAUUCUAAACAGCAGAAGCAAGAGACCUUUAAAGGAAGAAUGAACAGAAUUUGAUGACUAAAUUAUUUUAGUGAGGAAAAUAACAAAGAAAGAGAAGCAGCAAAAUUAAGGAGAGUUUAAAAUUGAGGGCAUCUGAAAGAUAUGACACCGUUAACAAUUAUAGAGCAUCAGCCUGUGGACUAUUUAUGGACAGUGAGUGGUAUUUAUAUAAGAAUAUUCAUAAACUUGAGUGUUACUAUCUCAACAAUUCCACAAGGAAGAAGGGGCACCUGGCAACUUUCCUUCUCCAAUGUUACUUUUCCUUACAAUCACAUUUUCAACUACACCCAGCUAUUUGCAUUUCUCUGAAAUUUCAUGCCCCCGAACACAUAUAUAUUUGCACUGAAGCUAGUCCUCCCUCACUGAAGUGUGUCUUUUGUCUUUCUCCCUUGCUUGCCCCUUACUUCUUAGAUCAGUUAUCACUCUGUGACACCUCUAAACAACAAUAAGGACUGCAGAAAUCAUUGCUCACUACUUUCUUCAUACAGUUCCUAGAACCUGCACCUCAUAUUCCAUUGAACAAAUUGCAGUCUAUCAUUUAGUUGCAUCUAUUCUCUACUCCACAGUGAGUUCCUAGAAGUGAGGCUGUGACUUAUUCUUUAUUGCAUCCCUGGUAUUUAGUACAAUCAGAGUGAGUAAUCCUUUUCUUCAGUUAUUAUUAUUACAUGGAUGAACAAAUGAAUAACUGUUCUACCCUUCAGGUUUUUCCAUGUCAAAAUCUGACAUGUACACACAGAUUUUCAAAGCUUUAAGUUUAAAAAAAAUCAAUAAACUAAAAGCAGUACUAUCCUAUUAUUUUUAGUCUGUAAACUCAAAUGUGACAUGGGAUGAGUUUUUAUUGUAUAUUUAUACAAUGUGAUUCAUGCUUUAACAUUUAAGUAUCUGUUCUUUUUUACACAAAGCCAAAUUUAGCUUGUGCAUAUAAUUUGCAUAGCAUGCAUGUGCUUGCAAAUAGUUUACAUUAUCUUCCUUUAAUCUACUCAUGGCUUGUAUGACUAUCUGUGUGCAUGUGGUUGUGUGUGCACACAUGUAUGUGUGCACAUGAGUCCAUACAUGAGCAGAUCUUAGGGAGCAAUUGCAAAGCUUGGUGAGGACCAAAUUGACUUUCUGAAUAUUUCUGUGACAGCUGAAUCAUUGACCUCAUCAUUUCCUUCCAGAUUAGCCUUUUCCCUCUUCCCCAUCUUCUCAAGGAUCACUCUGUGCUCCUGAUCUGAACCUUUAUUCUCUCAUUGUCUCUCCAUUAAGUGUACUCUUUAUGAGACUAACUUAGACUUUAUUUUAGGACAGUGAUUUUACUUACGUUAAACUAAGCUAAAAAAGAAACAAUUUUCUGAAGAUUCUAGGUUUUGUUAUUAUUAUUGUUGCUCUAUUACAAUCUUAUGUUUUUGUUUUGGCUCUGCGCAAUCCAGUGGUUAGCAUAAAUGUAUGAAAUGUAAAAGGGAAUUUUUUAAUACACUUGAAAAAGUGCAUUAAAACUCUGGAUAGAAUAUGUGAAGUAAAUGUAAUUACUAUGUAUGAUAGCAUAGUAUUCACAUAUUACAUGAGAAAAUUACCUAGGGAAAAAAUAUAUAUAUGAUUUUUUUUUUUUAAUUCAAAUGACCAUUAUCCAGACUAAGUCUCAAAAGUACUGUGAAGCAGUAGAAUUUAUAUUGGGUACUUCCAUGGCUUCCUUUUUACAUCCAUUCCUCCCCUUUCAUAUAACCAGUGCCCUCUGGGUACCUCACUUCGCCUCUUCCCCUACCCUGUUAAAACCUGCUCUACUGAGAACUAUCCAAUGUGUCAUGUACACUCUCCAGGCUGUGACUUCCAGUUUUCUGUAACUCAAAUUCUCAGCACUCAGGCUAUCUUUGCUCUCCAUAUUUGCACUUGAUGUACUAUCAUAUGCUGUCCCUAUAGUUCCACUUACUCAUUAUAAUCUUUCUGUAUAUUCGCUUUUGAUACAUUUACAAUUAUCUGAAAUGCCCAUAUUUCCUUGGCAAAUGACCAUUUUUCCUUAUGUCUCAGUUCCUCUGAGAUCACCUGCUCUUCCAAUGACAUAGCAGUUUUACAAAUUGAAUUAUAUCUAUGGUCUCCCUUAUCAACUGUAAUAUUGUGCUUACCACACAGGAUUUAUUUCUGUGUGCAAUUUUUAUUUUAGAUUGAAAAACUGUUAGAUUGAAAUUCAUGAUCUCUCCCUGUUUCCUUUUGCGAUGUUACUUUGUGGUAUCUGCCCACUUUAACUCUGAGUCCAACCACGUGAAUCACUUUGGCUAAUAGCAUGUUUGCACAUAGGAUGCAAGCAGAGGUUGAAAUGUACUUUCACACUGAAGUGCGUUUGCUCUUGCCUUUUGAUAAGAGAUGACAUGAGAACCUGCCUAGGCUGGUUCUGCUGGAGGGUGAGAGAUACAUGGAGUAGAACCUUAUUGUGUAGGUUAUUUCCACCAUGGCCAUCUUGGACCAGCUGAUAACCAGCUGACCAGCAGAUGGUGGUAUACAAUAUUAUUGUAGCAAUCAAUAAACAAUAUGAUUGCUCUGAUUCCACCCUUUGAACUACUAGGGAGUGAGGACUGUAUGCCUUGAGUAACCCUGUUUCUUUCACACAUAGAACCAAAGUUGACCUGAUAUAUUUUGAUUGAAUUGAACUUGUUAAUGCCAUCAUUUUCCCUUUACCAAAAGAAGUGAAUUCUAUAUCUUCUUUUUAAUAGGUAAACUAAAAUUUAGUCUCCUCUUAAAGAGAUUCUAAACAAAAAUAAAGAUAUUGGAGAGAGAAUUGUGUAGUCUCCCUCAAGUAAUCAGCAUAUACACAUGACUAAUUUACAUACCUUUAUAGCCAAUCUGAAGCUUAUCAAGAGAGUCAGAAUUAUAUUAUUUUUCCUCAAUUGUCUUCAUGUAAUGUUCUGCAUUUCUCUAAAACCAAUUGUAAGAAUUGUGCCUGUUUAGGGGGAGGAGGAGACAAACUUUGAAACAUCAUCAGGGUUCUUUUUCCAUCCUUCCUCUUGUGAAGAGGUUCUGUCCAUUUUCAAUGUAAAAUGCAUGUAUAAAUUGUCUCUCCUGUUCCAUGUACUUGAUAAGGUACUAUUUCUUGGAUACAUUUUUAGAAUAAAAGUAUGUAUAAAUCUGCAAGUCUGGCAGGUAAAACCAAAUAGGUAAAUCUCUCACUUUUAUAGAAAUAAUGAAAGCCAUACACAUAAGAUAUGGAUGUAGAAAGAUUAAGAAUUCUAGGAUUCAGCUAUUUGGAAAGAUUGCUCUGACCCCCCUCACAAAGGACUUCUCUUUCAAGCUUUGAAAGAAUCAAUCUAUGUAAGGAUAUUUCUCUAAGCUGCUAGUGCAAAAGUAAUAAACAUCAAGCUUAUGGACGGGUUUGGAAACUGAAUGGCUUUGCUUUUCUUCCAGGGAUUUAAUUUAUUUUUAAUAUCACAGGUGGCUUGAGGCAAGGUGUAAUCAUCUGUCACUCUUCAGUUAAAUCAUAUCCCCUCACUUCUGAAAUAUUCUUUGAUCUUCCUACCUGUAAAUCACAUUCUACUUUCUUUGUCGUAGACUGUAGUGUGUAGAUAUAAUAAUGACAUUAUAAAUUGCCUAAGAAGGUGGGAAGUACAUCCAUUUAAAAGAUGAUUGAGGGACAAAACACAUGCAAAUAUUAGCUCAGACAUUCAGUAUUUUUUAAUGUUUUUUCUUCUUUUCUGACUUAGUUACCAGAAAAUAGAAGUUACAUACAACAGUGGUCAAAGGCAGUUUUUAAUUUCUUUAAAUUAAAACAUAUCAGGCAUUUUCUUUUCUUUCUUUUUUUUUACUGGCUUUAUAUUUUAGGCAAUAACGAUAACUUAAGUCCACAACUGUCUUGAGCAUAUAGAUUUAAAUGUCCUGCUUAUCAAUUGAGCAGAUCCUUGUCCAAGCUGAAAUUCUCUAGAUGUAUAAUAAUAAAAUUAAUAAAAUCUUGGUUUGUAGUAACAGGUCAGUUCACACAAAUUUCCUAAGCAAGUCACUGGGUAUAAUAUGUACUACUAGUUUAUAUUUUAAAAAAAACAAUAGGUAGAAAAAUAAUUUUUUGUUACUUCUAUAUGAAAGGGCACCUUUGCUUCUCCCAGCCAAUGUAAUCAUUAAAUAGUUUAUAAGAAAUUUAAAUAUUGCAAAAAGAUGUCAACCCUCACAGAUGAAAGUCAUAGAUGGAACACAUUUCUGAAAAAUUUAACCUUUGAAAAACUGUUAGCAUUAUAAUUAUAUACAUUGUAUAGUUUAUAUAUAUUUUACAAAAGAGACAAGAAUUGGUAAAAUUACAAACAAAAGAAGUCAAUAUGAAAAAAAACGUUGACAAAAUGAAUCAGAACUUCUGGAAAGAGAAAUGUUGGGAUGGAAGGAAGGGCUUCUAUUUCCAUGAGGGAAGAGAUCUGGAGAGAAAGGAGAAAGUUGUAUACUAAAUCCUUUUCUGCUUUUACAGUUCUUAAGGGCAAAUAAUCUUGAAUUUGGCAUUAUCCUGUUGAAUGAUUUUAAAUGCUUGGGUUCUUUGUCACAUGAUGGUUUGAUUCUUUUCUCUAUUUGGAACAAUAAUCAUUCACUAAGAAAAUUUUCAGGUUUGAGUAGGUUAAGAACGACUAAUUUAUGUGAAUUUACAUAGAGCUGUAACACUGGUCCAAACCAACAAAACUCUAUAAAACUAUAUAGAGUGACACGAAGCAACAUUAUUAAUUUCUAAUAUUGGCACAAUUAGACUGAAACUGCUUCUAUGUUUACUGUGAGCUGAUUGAAUUUGGCAAUUUGGUCAAGUCUUGACUUUGGAAAGGAACAACAUGAGUGCAUUUAUCAAGUCCUUAAUUUGAGAAUUUAUCUUUAUGACUUGUAAGGUUGACAAUACCUCCCUUAAAAACCACUAAUAGAAAAAAAAAAAAAAA
rnacentral:lncRNA from 1 species